GACGAACGCUGGCGGCGUGCUUAACACAUGCAAGUCGAACGGAAAGGCCCUGCUUUUGUGGUGUGCUCGAGUGGCGAACGGGUGAGUAACACGUGAGUAACCUGCCCUUGACUUUGGUAUAACUUCAGGAAACUGGGGCUACUACCGGAUCGGAGCUCCUGCUGCAUUGUGGGGGUUGGAAAGUCUCGGCGGUUGGGGAUGGACUCGCGGCUUAUCAGCUUGUUGGUGGGGUAGUGGCUUACCAAGGCUUUGACGGGUAGCCGGCCUGAGAGGGUGAACGGCCACAAUGGGACUGAGAGACGGAGCAGACUGCUACGGGAGGCAGCAGUGGGGAAUAUUGCACAAUGGGCGGAAGCCUGAGGCAGAAACGCCGCGUGCGGGAUGACGGCCUUCGGGGUGUAAGAAGCUUUAGCCUGUGACGAAGCGGGAGUGACGGUAAUGGGUAAAGAAGCACCGGCUAACUACGUG
rnacentral:rRNA from 1 species